UCCUUGAGCUGGUCGUGUUGGGGGUCUUACUAUAUAGGGGAUGGUUUUUGUAGAGCUGUUGUUUCUUAUAGUUCCUUUUCGUUCUCUCUUUUGUUGUAUUUUCUUUUCUUUUGGUAGUCUGUUUUCUCUCUCUAUCUCUCUCUCUCUCUCUCUCUAUCUCUCUUGUUUUGUUCAGGCUGGUGCUAAACAUGUUUAUGUGGUGGAGGCAUCUGAAAUGGCAGAAUAUGCACGCAGGCUUAUUGCUGGGAAUCCAUCAUUGAGAGAAUGGAUUACGGUGAUCAAAGGUAAAGUUGAGGAUGUUGAAUUGCCUGAGAAAGCAGGCAUUCUGAUUUCUGGGGCUAUAUGAUUCAGAAGGGUGUUGCAGGGAGCAUAGAUCCAUUGCCAAAAUAUUAGAUUUGAGGCAACAUGAUUGUGUUGAGAUUUCCAUCUUAUUUCCAUGGUUUCUCUGUUUGUGUUGAGAUUUCAAGUCUCUUGGACUAAGGGAAAAAACCCAUCUCUAUUUUUCUUCUUUCCUUUUCUUUUCUUUAUGUUUUUUCAUGUUUUAUGGAUUGGGAUUCCAAGUCUAUUUGACUGAGAAUUGAAGACUC